rnacentral:rRNA from 1 species
UACGAAGGGGGCUAGCGUUGCUCGGAAUCACUGGGCGUAAAGCGCACGUAGGCGGAUUGUUAAGUCAGGGGUGAAAUCCUGGAGCUCAACUCCAGAACUGCCUUUGAUACUGGCGAUCUCGAGUCCGGGAGAGGUGAGUGGAACUGCGAGUGUAGAGGUGAAAUUCGUAGAUAUUCGCAAGAACACCAGUGGCGAAGGCGGCUCACUGGCCCGGUACUGACGCUGAGGUGCGAAAGCGUGGGGAGCAACAGGGAUUAAGA